AGCUUUACGCAGUGGCAGUAUCGUAGCCAAUGAGGUUUAUCCGAGGCGCGAUUAUUGCUAAUUGAAAAUUAAGAAAAAUCAGUAAUGAUUAAAUAACUAAAAAAAAAUCCUUAUAUAUUCUUGAUCUAGACAUUAGUUA